rnacentral:lncRNA from 1 species
UGGAUUCAGCAAGGAAGUCUUGAGGAGGAACUGCUUCAGCCUCCAAAUUUGAUCAAGCAGGGAGAUGUCCUCCACAGCUGGAUCUAAGAAGCAGUGAUUGUUGAUGAGCAGGUUCAACUGGUGCCUAUUAAUCUUCAAACUGUUGUGUAUACUGGCACCCUUGUCUUCCACCAUGGGUGUGUGUUGGUCAACUUCAUGUGUACGUCCUGCAACAUGGUUAGUGAAAUACGGUUCCAAAGAAAUGACAUGCAGGGGUAUAACACCCAAUCCCAG